AGCAGCCGCGGUAAUUCCAGCUCCAAUAGCGUAUAUUAAAGUUGUUGCAGUUAAAAAGCUCGUAGUUGAAUUUCGGGGUCAGUAGGUUGGUCGUGCCUCUGGUAUGUACUGGCUUUACUGAUUCCUCCUUCUUGAAGAACUGUAAUGUCAUUAAUUUGGUGUUGCAGGGAAACAGGACUGUUACUUUGAAAAAAUUAGAGUGUUUAAAGCAGGCUAACGCUUGAAUACAUUAGCAUGGAGUAAUGAAAUAGGACGUUUGAUCCUAUUUUGUUGGUUUCUAGGAUCGACGUAAUGAUUAAUAGGGAUAGUUGGGGGCAUUAGUAUUCAAUUGUCAGAGGUGAAAUUCUUGGAUUUAUUGAAGACUAACUACUGCGAAAGCAUUUGCCAAGGAUGUUUUCAUUAAUCAAGAACGAAAGUUAGGGGAUCGAAGACGAUCAGAUACCGUCGUAGUCUUAACCAUAAACUAUGCCGACUAGGGAUCGGAUGAUGUUAAUUUUUAAUGACUCAUUCGGCGCCUUAC
rnacentral:rRNA from 1 species